UUUCCAGUUCAGCCUCUCCCUGGAGAGAACACAAGUGCACCAGUCCAUCAAUGACCAGGGCUGCUCUGAGGUCCUGUCUUCCAUGGUACAUCCCAAGUGAUGCCCUGAUAGCCUCCUUUAUAGCUGGAGGCAUCUUCCCUUAUUCCAGCCAGGAGGGCAGAGCACAGGCCCAUCUAAAAAAGCCCAAGACAGGAGGUCUGUGAGCAACCCGCUCAAAAACCGGCCUCUGCU